UACGUAGGGUGCAAGCGUUAAUCGGAAUUACUGGGCGUAAAGCGUGCGCAGGCGGCUUUGCAAGACAGAUGUGAAAUCCCCGGGCUUAACCUGGGAACUGCAUUUGUGACUGCAUGGCUGGAGUGCGGCAGAGGGGAUGGAAUUCCGCGUGUAGCAGUGAAAUGCGUAGAUAUGCGGAGGAACACCGAUGGCGAAGGCAAUCCCCUGGGCCUGCACUGACGCUCAUGCACGAAAGCGUGGGAGCAACAGG
rnacentral:rRNA from 1 species